rnacentral:rRNA from 1 species
UUGAGUGGAUCCUGAGUACGACGGAGCACGUGAAAUUCCGUCGGAAUCUGGGAGGACCAUCUCCUAAGGCUAAAUACUCUCUAGUGACCGAUAGUGAACCAGUACCGUGAGGGAAAGGUGAAAAGCACCCCGGAAGGGGAGUGAAAUAGAACCUGAAACCGUGUGCUUACAAGUAGUCAGAGCCCGUUAAUGGGUGAUGGCGUGCCUUUUGUAGAAUGAACCGGCGAGUUACGAUUUGAUGCAAGGUUAAGCAGUAAAUGUGGAGCCGUAGCGAAAGCGAGUCUGAAUAGGGCGUUUAGUAUUUGGUCGUAGACCCGAAACCAGGUGAUCUACCCUUGGUCAGGUUGAAGUUCAGGUAACACUGAAUGGAGGACCGAACCGACUUACGUUGAAAAGUGAGCGGAUGAACUGAGGGUAGCGGAGAAAUUCCAAUCGAACCUGGAGAUAGCUGGUUCUCUCCGAAAUAGCUUUAGGGCUAGCCUCAAGUGAUGAUUAUUGGAGGUAGAGCACUGUUUGGACGAGGGGCCCCUCUCGGGUUACCGAAUUCAGACAAACUCCGAAUGCCAAUUAAUUUAACUUGGGAGUCAGAACAUGGGUGAUAAGGUCCGUGUUCGAAAGGGAAACAGCCCAGACCACCAGCUAAGGUCCCAAAAUAUAUGUUAAGUGGAAAAGGAUGUGGCGUUGCCCAGACAACUAGGAUGUUGGCUUAGAAGCAGCCAUCAUUUAAAGAGUGCGUAAUAGCUCACUAGUCGAGUGACACUGCGCCGAAAAUGUACCGGGGCUAAACAUAUUACCGAAGCUGUGGAUUGUCCUUUGGACAAUGGUAGGAGAGCGUUCUAAGGGCGUUGAAGCAUGAUCGUAAGGACAUGUGGAGCGCUUAGAAGUGAGAAUGCCGGUGUGAGUAGCGAAAGACGGGUGAGAAUCCCGUCCACCGAUUGACUAAGGUUUCCAGAGGAAGGCUCGUCCGCUCUGGGUUAGUCGGGUCCUAAGCUGAGGCCGACAGGCGUAGGCGAUGGAUAACAGGUUGAUAUUCCUGUACCACCUAUAAUCGUUUUA